CCUACGGGAGGCAGCAGUGGGGAAUUUUGGACAAUGGGGGAAACCCUGAUCCAGCCAUUCCGCGUGAGUGAAGAAGGCCUUCGGGUUGUAAAGCUCUUUCGGCAGGAACGAAACGGCGGACUCUAACAUAGUCUGUCAAUGACGGUACCUGAAGAAGAAGCACCGGCUAACUACGUGCCAGCAGCCGCGGUAAUACGUAGGGUGCGAGCGUUAAUCGGAAUUACUGGGCGUAAAGCGUGCGCAGGCGGCUUUGAAAGACGGAGGAGAAAUCCCUGGGCUUAACCGAGGAACUGGGUUCGGGACUGCAAAGCAAGAGGGCGGCAGAGGGGGGUGAAAUUCCUGGUGUAGCAGUAAAAUGCGUAGAGAUCAGGAGGAACACCGAUGGCGAAGGCAGCCCCCGGGGUUGGCACUGCCGCGCAUGCACGAAAGCGUGGGGAGCAAACAGGAUUAGAUCCCCUGGUAGU
rnacentral:rRNA from 1 species